AUCCCAUGAUGAGGACACUUACGAUGUAACUCGUUGAAUUGCUCCCAAGCCUCAUACAAAGGCUCAACAUCCAAUUGUUAGAAAGUUGUGAUCUCGUUCCUCAACUU
rnacentral:snoRNA from 1 species